AUCAGGUAAGGGUGAAAGGGUGCGGUAAGAGCGCACCGCGCGACUGGCAACAGUUCGUGGCACGGUAAACUCCACCCGAAGCAAGACCAAAUAGGCCCCUAUUGGCGCGGCCCGCGUUGGGGGCGGGUAGGUUGCUUGAGCCAGCGAGCGAUUGCUGGCCUAGAGGAAUGAUUGCUACCCGGGGCAACCCGGUACAGAACCCGGCUUACAGGCCGACUCCGACC
rnacentral:RNase_P_RNA from 1 species